AUCAAGCUGACGAGUCUCGAAUAGGACGAAACGCGCGUCCUGGAU
rnacentral:hammerhead_ribozyme from 1 species